rnacentral:rRNA from 1 species
UACAGAGGGUGCGAGCGUUAAUCGGAAUUACUGGGCGUAAAGCGUGCGUAGACGGUUAUUUAAGUCUGAUGUGAAAGCCCUGGGCUCAACCUGGGAAUGGCAUUGGAUACUGGCAACCUAGAAUGUGGUAGAGGGUGGCGGAAUUCCCGGUGUAGCAGUGAAAUGCGUAGAUAUCGGGAGGAACAUCCGUGGCGAAGGCGGCCACCUGGACCAACAUUGACGCUGAGGCACGAAAGCGUGGGGAGCAAACAGG